rnacentral:misc_RNA from 1 species
CGAUACAAGGCAGUCGAAGUCCCCGCCACCCCGCAGAUCUCAAUGACGCGACGGCACCUGGAACCACACUGCUGCCGCUCCCCUUCGGGCGCGCCUCCUACGCUUACCACUCACCCACGCUCUUGCAGCAUGCCCUUCGGGCAAUACGGCUUUCGUAAUACGCGAAGCAGCUGAGCGUCUUCGAUCGCUAUAUUCUCGCGAUAGCGAAGGUUUAACAACGAAGUUACGGCUUUAGGCGAAGAGCGAUAGCGAAACCCUUAAGUCUUAUUGUUUUGUUCUCGAACAACGAUCAUUCAUUACGGCCGGCCCGACCAAAGACUUCAAGCCCGGCCCAGCCCGGGCAAG